AGCUUUGCGCAGUGGCAAUAUUGUAGCCAAUGAGGUUUAUCCAAGGCAUGAUUAUUGCUAAUUGAAAACUUUUCCCAAGAAUG
rnacentral:snRNA from 1 species